GGUUGAUCCUGCCAGUAUUAUAUGCUGAUGUUAAAGAUUAAGCCAUGCAUGUGUAAGUAUAAAGACCAAGUAGGAUGAAACUGCGGACGGCUCAUUAUAACAGUAAUAGUUUCUUUGGUUAGUAAAGUACAAGGAUACCUUUGUGAAUGAUAAAGAUAAUACUUGAGACGAUCCUGCUUGUACAAGUACAAGUGGGCCGCUCUUUGCAAGAAGAGUGAACAAUGACAUCCUGAAUUGAACAAGGAUGCCACGACAAUUGUAGAACACACAGUGUUUAACAAGUAACCAAUGA
rnacentral:rRNA from 1 species